rnacentral:rRNA from 1 species
CGAGACCUCAGGUCAGGCGGGACUACCCGCUGAGUUUAAGCAUAUCAAUAAGCGGAGGAAAAGAAACUAACAAGGAUUCCCCUAGUAACGGCGAGCGAACCGGG